CAGGGUGCCCCUCCGGCCUCGCCAUGAGGCUCUUCCUGUCGCUCCCGGUCCUGGUGGUGGUUCUGUCGAUCGUCUUGGAAGCCAGGCGUUGUGGUGCGCGCUUGGCUACUUGGGAGGCUGAGACAGGAGAACUGCUUGAACCUAGGAGGCGGAGGUUGCAGUAAGCCGAGAUCGCACCAUUUGACACAGCAAGUCUCCGUCUCAAAACUACAACAACAACAACAACAACAACCAAAUUUUGCACCCCUGCCUCAUCUUCCUGGCAGGCCCAGCCCCAGCCUAGGGGGCUCCAGAAGUCUCCAACCCCUUUGAUGGCCUGGAGGAGUUAGGAAAGACCCUGGAGGACUACACUCGGGAAUUCAUCAACCGCAUCACACAGAGUGAACUUCCUGCCAAGAUGUGGGAUUGGUUUUCAGAGACAUUUCGGAAAGUGAAGGAGAAACUCAAGACUGACUCAUGAGGACCUGAAGGGUGACAUCCCAGGAGGGGCCUCUGAAAUUUCCAACACCCCAGCGCCUGUACUGAGGACGCCCUCCAUGUGUGUCCAAUGUGGUCACACGCCCAGGUGUGACCAAUAAAAAUCCUAUGGAAAAUUCUCUCUGGCCAGGCAUGGUGGCUGACGCCUGUAAUCCCAGCACUUUGGGAGGCUGAGGCGGGCGGAUCACAAGGUCAGGAGAUUGAGCCCAUCCUGGCUAACACGGUGAAACCCCGUCUCUACUAAAAAUACAAAA
ensembl:lncRNA APOC1P1 apolipoprotein C1 pseudogene 1